CGGAGAUGGCGACCGGCGCACGGGUGAGUAACACGUAUCAACCUGCCGAUAACUCGGGGAUAGCCUUUCGAAAGAAAGAUUAAUACCCGAUGGUAUAAUCAGACCGCAUGGUUUGAUUAUUAAAGAAUUUCGGUUAUCGAUGGGAUGCGUUCCAUUAGGCAGUUGGUGAGGUAACGGCUCACCAAACCUUCGAUGGAUAGGGGUUCUGAGAGGAAGGUCCCCCACAUUGGAACUGAGACACGGUCCAA
rnacentral:rRNA from 1 species